rnacentral:rRNA from 1 species
GUUUGAUCAUGGCUCAGAUUGAACGCUGGCGGCAGGCCUAACACAUGCAAGUCGAACGGUAACAGGAAGAAGCUUGCUUCUUUGCUGACGAGUGGCGGACGGGUGAGUAAUGUCUGGGAAACUGCCUGAUGGAGGGGGAUAACUACUGGAAACGGUAGCUAAUACCGCAUAACGUCGCAAGACCAAAGAGGGGGACCUUCGGGCCUCUUGCCAUCGGAUGUGCCCAGAUGGGAUUAGCUAGUAGGUGGGGUAACGGCUCACCUAGGCGACGAUCCCUAGCUGGUCUGAGAGGAUGACCAGCCACACUGGAACUGAGACACGGUCCAGACUCCUACGGGAGGCAGCAGUGGGGAAUAUUGCACAAUGGGCGCAAGCCUGAUGCAGCCAUGCCGCGUGUAUGAAGAAGGCCUUCGGGUUGUAAAGUACUUUCAGCGGGGAGGAAGGGAGUAAAGUUAAUACCUUUGCUCAUUGACGUUACCCGCAGAAGAAGCACCGGCUAACUCCGUGCCAGCAGCCGCGGUAAUACGGAGGGUGCAAGCGUUAAUCGGAAUUACUGGGCGUAAAGCGCACGCAGGCGGUUUGUUAAGUCAGAUGUGAAAUCCCCGGGCUCAACCUGGGAACUGCAUCUGAUACUGGCAAGCUUGAGUCUCGUAGAGGGGGGUAGAAUUCCAGGUGUAGCGGUGAAAUGCGUAGAGAUCUGGAGGAAUACCGGUGGCGAAGGCGGCCCCCUGGACGAAAACUGACGCUCAGGUGCGAAAGCGUGGGGAGCAAACAGGAUUAGAUACCCUGGUAGUCCACGCCGUAAACGAUGUCGACUUGGAGGUUGUGCCCUUGAGGCGUGGCUUCCGGAGCUAACGCGUUAAGUCGACCGCCUGGGGAGUACGGCCGCAAGGUUAAAACUCAAAUGAAUUGACGGGGGCCCGCACAAGCGGUGGAGCAUGUGGUUUAAUUCGAUGCAACGCGAAGAACCUUACCUGGUCUUGACAUCCACGGAAGUUUUCAGAGAUGAGAAUGUGCCUUCGGGAACCGUGAGACAGGUGCUGCAUGGCUGUCGUCAGCUCGUGUUGUGAAAUGUUGGGUUAAGUCCCGCAACGAGCGCAACCCUUAUCCUUUGUUGCCAGCGGUCCGGCCGGGAACUCAAAGGAGACUGCCAGUGAUAAACUGGAGGAAGGUGGGGAUGACGUCAAGUCACCAUGGCCCUUACGACCAGGGCUACACACGUGCUACAAUGGCGCAUACAAAGAGAAGCGACCUCGCGAGAGCAAGCGGACCUCAUAAAGUGCGUCGUAGUCCGGAUUGGAGUCUGCAACUCGACUCCAUGAAGUCGGAAUCGCUAGUAAUCGUGGAUCAGAAUGCCACGGUGAAUACGUUCCCGGGCCUUGUACACACCGCCCGUCACACCAUGGGAGUGGGUUGCAAAAGAAGUAGGUAGCUUAACCUUCGGGAGGGCGCUUACCACUUUGUGAUUCAUGACUGGGGUGAAGUCGGAACAAGGUAACCGUAGGGGAACCUGCGGUUG